UCAAGAAACUUCCACAAUGGGCGAAAGCCUGAUGGAGCGACGUCGCGUGAUGGACGAAGUGCUUCGGCACGUAAACAUCUUUUAUGUGGGAUGAAAUUAUUGACAGUACCACAUGAAUAAGGGGCUCCUAACUCUGUGCCAGCAGGAGCGGUAAUACAGAGGCCCCAAGCGUUAUCCGGAAUCACUGGGCGUAAAGGGUGUCGAGGCGGUUGUAUUAGUCGUUCGUAAAAUCUACGAGCUUAACUUGUAGGCGGCGAACGAAACGGUACGACUUGAGGUUUGGAGAGGUGCGUGGAACUCACGGUGUAGGGGUGAAAUCCGUUGAUAUCGUGGGGAACACCAAGGGCGAAGGCAGCGCACUGGCCAAAAUCUGACGCUCACACACGAAAGCUAGGGUAGCGAAGAGGAUUAGAUACCCACGUAGUCCCUGAGCGGGCUGGCAAGGCGCAU
rnacentral:rRNA from 1 species